AAAGUGUGAAUAUUCAACAGUAGUGAUAUUGCUCGGAGUCUCUCCAGGUUGCCAACACUGUAGAAGAGCUUGGUCCUGGAUAUGUUUUGGAGGUAAAACAGCGUAUCAGCCCUGAUUCACAGAAGAUGAACAGGAGAGAACUAGAGUUAACCCCAGGUGUUUGCAGCUGGGCCACUGCUAGGCAAGACUUUGCUGUUUAAUCCCAUUUGGAUGUGAUUUAUGGUGAAAUCUUGCUUGUACAAAUAAAGCCUGUCUGAAGGUCAAAGAAUGGAGCUUGCCACUAGUUAACCAUAGAGGUCUGGAGGUCUGUACAGACAGACAGGAAGUGAAGCAGCUGGGCAGAAACAGGAUAUAAGCCGGGAGAAACAGAAAUUCUCUCUUGUCUGCUGAGACACUAAGGAGGUCACUAUGUUUUUAAGAUCUCAACAUGCCUACAAAACUCCUGGUAUUCUUUAAAGUGGACCUGAGAGUCUGUACAAGUCCCCCUCCCCCCAUGAUGCCCACAUUCUAUGACAGACCACAUUUUGAGGAUCCAGAGGUGAAAGAAAUCAAAUAUACUUUGAACCCUGAGCUUGUGAAACAAAGCAUAUGUAUUUCCUGGCAACGUGGGACUCAUAGAGCUUCUGCCGUUGUGAGAUGAAAGAACAAACACACAACAGCCCAGCAGGACACAGUGAGAUUCCUUAGGGGUCACUAGUGGAGACAGCAUGGCCCCAACCACAUUUUGACCCUGGAAAAUAUUUCCACAGUGUUCCAGCUGUUUUCCCCACCAGAUUAUGCCUUCUAGUUAGUCUUGAUUCUUGUUCCCAUCAAAAAUAUUUGAGGUGAAAGAGUAAAUUUAGCCAAGACCAACAAAAUCUCUGAAGGCUUCACCACUGUUCUCUCAGUCCCCUGUUUCCAUAACACGUGGCUGGGUCUUGCUUAACCUGCCGUGAUCAGCUGAGUGGCCAUGGUGAGAAGCCAGAGUGUUUUCUAAAUAAGCUUAUUUCUGCAUCGGUUUGAACUGACCUGAAAAAUGUAUUUGUUCCAUUUGGGCCUUUCUGAGCAAACAAUGUCCACUUUGUGUUGUGUACACCACCUAAUUAUUUCAGAUUCCACAGCAUCAAUUCACAGAAAAUGAUCCAGGUUACUUAUGCUCUUGACCCAGUUGUCCUUUAGAGGUGGAUAUAUGCACAAAGGAACACACUAUGCUGAAUUUAUCUUAGUUGAAGUCUUAGGAAGCCCUGAAUUUUUAUCAUUAUAUGUUAAUAAAAAUAGACAUUUAUUGU
rnacentral:lncRNA from 1 species